AUUGAACGCUGGCGGCGUGCCUAACACAUGCAAGUCGAGCGGUAACAGGCGUAGCAAUACGUGCUGACGAGCGGCGAACGGGUGAGUAAUGCUUUGGAAUCUUCCCAGUAGUGGGGAAUAACCAGUCGAAAGAUUGGCUAAUACCGCAUACGUCCGAGAGGGGAAAGCGGGGGACCGUAAGGCCUCGCGCUAUUGGAUGAGCCAAAGUCGGAUUAGCUUGUUGGUGAGGUAAUGGCUCACCAAGGCGACAAUCCGUAGCUGGUCUGAGAGGACGACCAGCCACACCGGAACUGAGACACGGUCCGGACUCCUACGGGAGGCAGCAGUGGGGAAUAUUGGACAAUGGGGGAAACCCUGAUCCAGCGACGCCGCGUGUGUGAAGAAGGCCUGCGGGUUGUAAAGCACUUUUAGUGGGGACAAAAGCCAGGGGCUAACACCAUCUGGUCUUGAUUUAACCCACAGAAAAGCACCGGCUAACUCUGUG
rnacentral:rRNA from 1 species